AGCCUGAUUUGGGUUCCACAUUCUCUGGGAAUUAUUCCUGGUCUACAGAGAUGUAAAGGAAGGAAAAAUAGAACUAUCAUGGCCAAAUAAAAAUUCUCUAGGAAUAAAAAAAACCCCCCGUAGGAUUGCGAACAAUGUGGUUACAUGGGGGAGAGUGGUUCCAAGGUUAUUCAUCCCUCAGUUCUCUGAGGCAGAAGAAAUGUUAUUGAAAAAUAAUUCCAUGCAAUCCAAGAGACUUCUACCAGAAGGGAUGCAGUGCUGGAUCUGGUGGUCACCAACGUAAGGGAGCGAAUCAGGGACAUCAAGAUUGGAGGCAGCCUGAUGGAGUUUGUGGAGUUUACAGUCCUAAAGGAUAUGAGUCAGAUAAGGAUUAAAGAUUUGGUGCCUGAACUUUCGGAAAGAAAACUUCUAUCUCUUUAAGGAAAUAGUCAAUAGGAUCCCCUGGGAGACUGCCUUCAGGGAUAAGGGAGUGAAAUGGAGCUGGCAGAUAUUUAAGGAAGUCUUCCAUAGAGUGCAAGAACUCACAAUUCCCAGGACCAAGAAAAUGGGCAAGGAAAGCAAGAGACUAGAAUGGCUGAAUGGAACUCAGGGAAUGAGGGAACUGCUGGUCAAACUAAAGGGAAAGAAGCAAAUGCACAGGCACUGGACACAAGGACAGGCGACCUGGGAAGGGCACAGAGCUGACGUAUGGUUGUGUACUUGGCAAAGAAUAGCAGGAAGGGCUUCUACAGGUAUCUAAACCAGAAGAAGAAGGUCAAAGAAGCUGUGCCAUCCUGAUAAAUGAACUGACAAACUGGUAAAAAUGGAGAAGGCUGAUGUGCUCAACAACUUCUUUGACUGAGUUUUCAAUGGCAGCUUCUCUUCCCACACCUCUUGAGUGGAUAGAUGGCAGGAUGGGGGAGAAAAGUCCAUCCCACUGUAAGAAAAGAUCAUUUUCAUGACCACCUGAGAAACCUGAAUGUACAUGAGUCUACGGGAUCCAGUGAGAUGCAUUCCAGAGUGCUGAGGAGGUUGGCUGCCAUUUACCUAAGCAGUGUUAGCUGCAGACAGUGAAUAAAAGCUCCCAGAAUGACAUACCUCUUUGAAUCAAAACCAUCCCUCAUGACACUAAAAGGAGUGUGGUUUUUCCACUUGGCAUUCCUGCUAUACCUUCACAAUCUCUGGACAGGCAUUACAGCCCCUGAAGCAAAGCAGUCUUAAACACAGCAAUUUCAAAUCCUGCCUCCUCUGAUAUCUGUGGCAAAAAUCCCAAUGGAGACAAGAUUUCACCAUGUUUAUUAAAGCUCCAAGGUAUUCCUUGAUGUUUAUGAGAUUCCAUUAUGCAAACGGAAUACUAUAAAAGUUCCUUUGACAGCAAUUUCCCGUCCACUGGCAUAAAAGCAGAUCUUGUUUGGCACAAACAUUAGCAGCUGGCACAAGCCAUAGUUAAACCCACUAGUCCCAAGACUAGAGAGACGCAAACAUGUAAAACACAACCAUUUUACCACCUCUCCUAGUCCUGUCUUCCAUAAAAUAGAUCUCAGCUGACACAGAGAGCUGCGUAAUUUCUUCCAAAAACUAAACAUUGAGAAAUUAAUUCUCCAGUAUGUUGUGCGCUGUGUAAAGAAUGCACGUGAAUGUGAGGUGUUGUAAGGUUCUAUUAGCACUCAUUUAGGAUGACUUUACAUUGCUCACAAUUGGCAAAACCACAAGUGAGUCACAUGGGUUAAACUACAACACAUGGUCAUCCUAAAUGCACACCAAGAAAGUCUGCACCAGGAAGGCCACUGAGUCAUUGGUGAAGCACUUAUUAAGUAGUUGACAAGAGUUAUUCACCUCUGGAAAGUAACUCUGGCUCACUAUGGCAUACCACAGAAAAGAAUGACACUUGCUUUUGUUUCUAUGAUGUGAAGAUGAAGAUUUGAUUUGCAGUUAUUUGAGUCUAAUCAGCAAACCUAGGACAGUCCAGCUUAACAGACUUGUGAGCAUGAGAAAAAUAAAAACAACAUACACUUUUUUGUACCCUAAUUGUGUGCUUAUGUAUCAGUCAAAAGCUUCAAUAAAGACACAACUCAUAGAACAACAAUUUAAAUAAAACAGUUAAUUCUAGACUGUGGCAUUUUCCAGGAUAUAGUUGACAUAUCUAAUAUGUGAAAUUAUGUCUCUUGCAAUAUGGCUGGCUUUAUAUUCAAAAGAACAAAUGGUUAAAUUUAUAUCCCUAUACAGUUAUGGAGGGGAAGACUGCUUCAACAAACUUUUUGCCUUGUGCUGUCAUCCUAAAUUCUGUAUGCAGCUCUUCUGCUAACACCCUGAAUGUGACAUGCUGCUCUCGAAAACAGCAGGAGUGAAGACUUGCAGUACAGAAAUGUUUGCUGUUGAAAGGCCAUAAGUUUGAUUUAUUUAUUUGUAUUUGGUGGUGGCUGCUUGUGUUAUUCCUAGGAGGCAAUGGGAAAAAGGAAGU